rnacentral:lncRNA from 1 species
UUUCCCCAUUGAAGUGAAUGCAGCUGCCUCCCUGGGCAGUGUUGUUACCUCUGUGGGUGUGUAUAUAGGAGUAGCCUAAACAGGAAGAGGACAAGGGAGAAGCAGACCACCACUGCCAUGCCCUUAAUACCUGUCUCAUGGUUUGGGACUUUGGCAAGUGUGCACUGCGGCAUCAGUGCAAGGGUCGUUCGUGCCUUCAGUGCAAGUUGGCCUCGUAGUGGAUAUACUCUGACGUCGGGGGUCACUGUGAGAGAAGAGCCUACAGGUGUUCCCAGCUCGAAGUGGAUAUACUCUGACAUCAGGGGUCACUGUGAGAGAAGAGCCUACAGGUGUUCCCAGCUCGAAGUGGAUAUACUCUGACGUCAGGGGUCACUGUGAGAGAAAAGCCUACAGGUGUUCCCAGCUCUUAGGAAAAGGAGAGAAACUAUUCCUUCCUAAGAAGAGCCCAGUCAUUGGCCAGGCAACUCCAGAUAUCUCGACCAGAAUUAGGUUCCUGUCUGUCUGUUGAACAGAGCCACAUGCACACCCUUUUGUAAGCCAGUUUCAUUCAGAUUUCCCUGGUGAGACAUGGAGAUUGAGGGUAUCAUAAUACUUAUGAGUGGCCAUUUUCAAUAACAUCUAAUUAAAGAGAACAUUCUUAAAUACUUAAUAGGCUUUUUGAGUUUUACACUCCAUGAAUUAGUGCACAUGUACCUUCGGAAUCUUCCUGUUGGUUGAACCUGUGGUGUCCCGGCCUUGAGACGGCAGCUCUGCAUAUCUGGAACGCUGGGUUGUGUUUCUGAGCUGGGUGAUAGAGGUGCUUUUGUUCCUGCAGCUGGCAACAGAAGCCGCCAUUCAUCGGGAAGCUCGAGGGAGGAGCUGUCAGCCUCGGUUUGCACAUUAGUCUUGCUUUCGUGGUUCAGGGGAACUGGAAGGAUUGCAUUCCGAACACCCAGCACUGUCGCACUCAGACAUGACAGUAGGAAAUCACAGUCUUAGAAGUUCUUGCAAACUGAACUCUUGUUAGAAAGCUCUCCUGUCACAGUAAUCCUGACUGUAUUUGCAUCCGUCCCAGCCCUUUCAGUGCUCAGUAUACCUAAUUUAGUGAAAGGCUUAAGAAUGCUUCCUCCCGAUAGAAAUUUGAAGUCAAUGUCAUGGUAUUUUGCAAUUCAAGUACCCCUUCAUAUGUCAAUAUGCAGAAAGUAUUAUCUCAAAGUCUCUUACUGCUUAGGCACUUACUCAGAUAGAAUUUGUUGUGUUUGCACUAAGGUAAUUUCUACUGUUUCCUGUUUGAAACUGGGUUGAAAUGAGCAAAAUGGCCUUUUAAAGGAUCCCGAAAGUACAAUACUUGGCAUCUCAAGUGAAGUGUGGGGGAAGGGCCAUCAGCUGCUAAUGCCAGGCACACAGUGAGAGUUCUGUGUCUGUAUUGAUGGGGUCCCUUUCUAGAGUGUGACAGAUUCCGUGGAACUGUCUUGAAGGAUGGGAGAGAUUAAGAUGUGACUCGCAUAGAUAAAAAAGAAUUGACUGAAAGAUUUGGAUACAUUGUGGAAACAGCCCCACAGUGUGAGGGAAACUGUGAAGACUCAUCAGGCCUUUCACUAGAUGCGCCCUGUCAGCACCCUAUUCACUGCAGAGUUGUUUGCUUUUGUGUCAUGAGCUAUUAGCUUGGAGACCCAUCUGUACCAAUCUGGCUUGCGUUAUGUCAAGCAGCAUGCAUGAGCGAGCUUAGCUGAUCACUAGAAGAACUCAUUGUCUUGGUAAGAUAUACCAAGGCAUUUCCUUGAAUUGAUUUGAUACUUUCUUGUGAAAAAAAGUUUCAUGCUGUCAUACCUGUCUUACCUCAGUGUCCAGGACAAAAAAAUUUACAGAGGGGGUGGGGGUGGGGCCAAGCAAAAACUGUUAAUCUUUUAGACAUAACCCUAGAAUAUCCUUCAAAGUGAUUUCGCUUGAAUCGUGGAUUCUGCCCAGUGCUAUUCACCCUGUUUAAACCUCUUAGUUUACUAGGGUUGUUGGAUUUUUGCUCCCUUUAUCUUAAUAAUUACAUGACCAUAUUCAUGCUGAUUAUAAUACAGAGGACUUAUUUCUAAAUGGAGGCAUAAAUGAUUGUGAGCAACAUUUAGCUGAGCACUACCAAGUUUUGUUUUGUUUUGUUUUGUUUUUCCUCUUGUUAGAGUUUCUGGGGUUGUCCUCUGGCCUAGAAUAGCCACAUGCUUCUAAUUAUGAUACGAGAUUGUGACUGGAUCAGGCUGUCCUUAACCAGAGUAGUACUUCUUCUCCUGUAUUAUGAAUGGCAGUUUUUGUCCAAGGUGUAAAUAGAAUUUGCUUAAGUUAAAUUCUAACUGUGGCAUACUUUUAUUAUAAAUAAACCAUAUCCGAUUGCACAU